rnacentral:rRNA from 1 species
CCUACGGGUGGCAGCAGUGGGGAAUAUUGCGCAAUGGGCGAAAGCCUGACGCAGCGACGCCGCGUGAGGGAUGAAGGUCCUCGGAUCGUAAAACUCUGUCAGCAGGGAAGCACGGUCACUGUGCUAAUCAGCAGUGAAUUGACGGGACCUGCAAAGGUAGCACCGGCUAACCCCGUGCCCGCAGCCGCGGUAAUACGGAGGGUGCGAGCGUUAAUCGGAAUUACUGGGCGGAAAGCGCUCGUAGGCGGUAUGUCAAGUCAAGGGUGAAAUCCCCGCGCUCAACGUGGGAACUGCCUUUGAAACUGGCAAACUGGAGUGUGUGAGAGGAUAGUGGAAUGCCAGGUGUAGGAGUGAAAUCCGUAGAUAUCUGGAGGAACUUCAGUGGCGAAGGCGACUAUCUGGCACAUAACUGACGCUGAGGAGCGAAAGCGUGGGUAGCAAACAGGAUUAGAUACCCCGGUAGUC